rnacentral:lncRNA from 1 species
CUCCACCCUUCACUCGCCUCAUUGUGCCCAGGCAGCACCAAGGUCAGAAAUUAAUUGGAGACACUGCAAAACACACAGCCUGUAAUAUUUCAGUUCAGUGAGGUCACAAGAAAAACUCAGUUAAAGCCUUAUUAGAGCAGUUUACAGGAGCACAUUACUGCGAAUAUGAAAUGAGAGUCUUGUCUUGAUGGAUGCGUCACCUACCCAAGAUAUUUGUUGAGAAUAAUUUGAAAAUCACCCCCGUACAUGGUUGUAUAUUCUUCGUUGUGGGUCCUUCUAGUUGUGGCAUGUGGGACGCUGCCUCAGCGUGGUUUGACGAGCAGUGCCAUGUCCGCGCCCAGGAUUCGAACCAACGAAACACUGGGCCGCCUGCAGCGGAGCGCGCGAACUUAACCACUCGGCCACGGGGCCAGCCCCUGCAAUUAAUAUUUUUAUCCGGCCCAAGAAUCCUCUACCUACGGCUGGCAGAUGAAGAAAAGAAAUCGGAGGAGGCACACUGUCUACAGUUCAGAAUCCGGUGCCUUUUGAGACGCCUUUGCCUGCUGAAGAUGAAGGCUGCCUGGAGAGUAGUGAGCUC